GCUCCCAGAAGGCCCAACAGAGCAGACGCCAGACAGAGAGCCGUGGCAGCAUCCAUGGCCGCCGCUCCGCCGCCCCGGGCUCUCCCCCUCCUCCUCCUCCUGCUCUGCGCCGCCCUCUCCUUCCGCGUUGCAGCGGCGCACGGGGCGAGCGCCGGCGGACACGGGCUCGGUGUCAACUACGGCCGGGUGGCGGACGACAUCCCCUCGCCGCGGCGGUCCGUGGAGCUGCUCCGCGCGGCGGGCGCCGGGUCCGUCAAGAUCUACGACGCCAACCCGGGCGUGCUCCGCGCGCUGGCUGGCACGCGCUGGCCCGUCUCCAUCAUGGUGCCCAACGAGAUCAUCCCGGACAUCGCCGCCUCGCCCGCCGCCGCGGACCGCUGGGUCGCCGACAACCUGGUCCCCUACUACCCGGCGACGCGGGUCAAGUUCCUGCUCGUGGGGAACGAGAUCCUCUCCGACUACUCCAUCGCCAAGUCCACCUGGCCGCGUCUCGUCCCAGCGAUGGAGAACAUCCACCUGAGCUUCCGCAAGCGGGGUAUCAGCAGCGUCAAGAUCGGUACCACGCUCGCCAUGGACGCGCUCGCCGACGGCGCCUUCCCGCGCCCGCCGUCCGCCGCGGCCUUCCGCCCCGACAUCGCCACGUCCGUCGUGCGCCCGCUGCUGCACUUCCUGAACGGGACCAACUCCUACUACUUCGUCGACGCUUACCCCUACUUCGUCUGGGCGGGCAAUAACCUCACCGUCCCGCUCGAUUACGCGCUCUUCCAGGGCGGACACACCCGCUACAUUGACCCGGGCACCGGGCUGACAUACACCAACCUGCUCGACGAAAUGCUUGACGCGGUGGCCAUCGCGAUGGCGAAGCUCGGGUAUGGCGGCGUCAAGCUGGCCGUCGCGGAGACCGGGUGGCCGAACGGCUGCGACUACGACCAGAUUGGCGGCAACGUCCACAACGCCGCCAUCUACAACAGGAACCUCGGGGCACGGAUGGCCAAGAACCCGGGCACGCCACUGCGGCCGGGAGCGAAGAUGCCGGUGUUCGUGUUCUCGCUCUACAACGAGGACCUCAAGGGCGGGCCGGGCACCGAGCGGCAUUGGGGCCUGUACUACGCCAACGGCACUGCAGUCUACGAGAUCGAUCUCACCGGACGACGGCCGCUGUGGUCGUACCCGCCUCUGCCGGCGCCGGAGAACAACACGCCGUACAAGGGGCCAAUAUGGUGCGUCAUGUCGGCCGCCGCCAGCAAGAAGCUGAACGAGACGGCAGUGGGGAACGCGCUAUCCUACGCGUGCGGGCAAGGAAACGGGACCUGCGACGCCAUUCAGCCCGGGAAGAAGUGCUACCUGCCGAACACCACGGUGGCGCACGCCAGCUACGCGUUCAACUCGUACUGGCAGCAGUUCAGGAAGAUUGGAGCGACGUGCUACUUCAACAACCUCGCGGAGCAGACUAUCAAAGACCCAAUGAUAUGGAGCACAUGACUAGUCCAUUCUGGCCCAUUUAUGACUGGAUGAAAGCCCAACUGCAGAUUUCACAUGAUCUUGGAUUGUUGUAUUAAGGCCAUGGAUCCUGCAAGUUCCGCAGCUCGUUGGACUCCUGACUGACUGGGGGCGAGAACGGAGAGGGAGAAAACAUGUGAUUCUUGAUUUUGUGUAAACCCCGGUUUAGACGGGCUCUGGAGCUAGGGGAGGGGACGUGCUUUUGGCACCAUAGAUGAUAGAUGUUCCCUCUCACUUACUCGGAAUUUGGCUGUAACAGAGGAGAAUUGCUCGGUUGCUCACUUCAGAAUCAGAAAUGGGAGGUUGAAGUUCGCUUGCCAAUU